rnacentral:rRNA from 1 species
GACGAACGCUGGCGGCGUGCUUAACACAUGCAAGUCGAACGGUAAGGCCCUUCGGGGUACACGAGUGGCGAACGGGUGAGUAACACGUGGGUGAUCUGCCCUGCACUUCGGGAUAAGCCUGGGAAACUGGGUCUAAUACCGGAUAGGACUCCGGACUGCAUGGUCUGGGGUGGAAAGCUUUUGCGGUGUGGGAUGGGCCCGCGGCCUAUCAGCUUGUAGGUGGGGUGAUGGCCUACCAAGGCGACGACGGGUAGCCGGCCUGAGAGGGUGACCGGCCACACUGGGACUGAGAUACGGCCCAGACUCCUACGGGAGGCAGCAGUGGGGAAUAUUGCACAAUGGGCGCAAGCCUGAUGCAGCGACGCCGCGUGAGGGAUGACGACCUUCGGGUUGUAAACCUCUUUCAGCAUCGACGAAGCGAAAGUGACGGUAGGUGCAGAAGAAGGACCGGCCAACUACGUGCCAGCAGCCGCCGUAA